UCUUUCUCAUGGUUUAUUAUAAAACAAUAUAAGCACAUGUUUUUACAUCUGCAAUAUACACACACAACAAUCUAUGUUUGACAGUUUGUACAACCAAUGCAUCAAAUGAAACAGGACCUCAAAAACACAUAUUGGCGUCAUGUUGAAAUGCAACAUUCAACCACACCACUUUUAUGACCGUAGCACUUUAUAGGACCCUAAUGCAUGGGCAACUUCGUGCAGGAAAAUGUAAAUAUGAACAUUUUAAA